rnacentral:rRNA from 1 species
GGGUGGGUAAAACCAUUUAGUACCGGAGCUAACGCGUGAAGUUGACCGCCUGGGGAGUACGGCCGCAAGGUUAAAACUCAAAGGAAUUGACGGGGACCCGCACAAGCGGUGGAUGAUGUGGAUUAAUUCGAUGCAACGCGAAAAACCUUACCUACCCUUGACAUGUCCAGAAGCUCUUAGAGAUUUGAGUGUGCCCGAAAGGGAACUGGAACACAGGUGCUGCAUGGCUGUCGUCAGCUCGUGUCGUGAGAUGUUGGGUUAAGUCCCGCAACGAGCGCAACCCUUGUCGUUAAUUGCCAUCAUUCAGUUGGGCACUUUAACGAGACUGCCGGUGACAAACCGGAGGAAGGUGGGGAUGACGUCAAGUCCUCAUGGCCCUUAUGGGUAGGGCUUCACACGUCAUACAAUGGUCGGUACAAAGGGUUGCCAACCCGCGAGGGGGAGCUAAUCCCAGAAAGCCGAUCGUAGUCCGGAUCGUAGGCUGCAACUCGCCUGCGUGAAGUCGGAAUCGCUAGUAAUCGUGGAUCAGCAUGUCACGGUGAAUACGUUCCCGGGUCUUGUACACACCGCCCGUCACACCAUGGGAGCGGGUUCCGCCAGAAGUAGGUAGCCUAACCGCAAGGAGGGCGCUUACCACGGCGGGGUUCGUGACUGGGGUGAAGUCGUAACAAGGUAG